GACGAACGCUGGCGGCGUGCUUAACACAUGCAGGUCGAACGGUAAGGCCCUUCGGGGUACACGAGUGGCGAACGGGUGAGUAACACGUGGGUGAUCUGCCCUGCACUUCGGGAUAAGCCUGGGAAACUGGGUCUAAUACCGGAUAGGAUCACUGCCUGCAUGGGUGGUGGGGGAAAGCUUUUGCGGUGUGGGAUGGGCCCGCGGCCUAUCAGCUUGUUGGUGGGGUGAUGGCCUACCAAGGCGACGACGGGUAGCCGGCCUGAGAGGGUGACCGGCCACACUGGGACUGAGAUACGGCCCAGACUCCUACGGGAGGCAGCAGUGGGGAAUAUUGCACAAUGGGCGCAAGCCUGAUGCAGCGACGCCGCGUGAGGGAUGACGGCCUUCGGGUUGUAAACCUCUUUCAGCUAUGACGAAGCGCAAGUGACGGUAGUAGCAGAAGAAGGACCGGCCAACUACGUGCCAGCAGCCGCCGCGG
rnacentral:rRNA from 1 species